GGUUAAGCGACUAAGCGUACACGGUGGAUGCCCUGGCAGUCAGAGGCGAUGAAGGGCGUGCUAAUCUGCGAUAAGCGCCGGUAAGGUGAUAUGAACCGUUAUAACCGGCGAUACCCGAAUGGGGAAACCCAGUGUGACUCGUCACACUAUCAUUAACUGAAUCCAUAGGUUAAUGAGGCGAACCGGGGGAACUGAAACAUCUAAGUACCCCGAGGAAAAGAAAUCAACCGAGAUUCCCCCAGUAGCGGCGAGCGAACGGGGAGGAGCCCAGAGCCUGAAUCAGCAUGUGUGUUAGUGGAAGCGUCUGGAAAGGCGCGCGAUACAGGGUGACAGCCCCGUACACAAAAGCGCAUGUGCUGUGAGCUCGAUGAGUAGGGCGGGACACGUGGUAUCCUGUCUGAAUAUGGGGGGACCAUCCUCCAAGGCUAAAUACUCCUGACUGACCGAUAGUGAACCAGUACCGUGAGGGAAAGGCGAAAAGAACCCCGGCGAGGGGAGUGAAAAAGAACCUGAAACCGUGUACGUACAAGCAGUGGGAGCACAGGUUUACCUGUGUGACUGCGUACCUUUUGUAUAAUGGGUCAGCGACUUAUAUUCUGUAGCAAGGUUAACCGAAUAGGGGAGCCGGAGGGAAACCGAGUCUUA
rnacentral:rRNA from 1 species